rnacentral:rRNA from 1 species
GACGAACGCUGGCGGCGUGCUUAACACAUGCAAGUCGAGCGGUAAGGCCCUUUCGGGGUACGACGAGCGGCGAACGGGUAGGAGUAACAACGUGGGUGGACCUCGCCCUCCAGCUCUGGGAGUAAGACCUCGGGAAACCGGGGUACCGUAAUAACUGGAGUAUGACUCCACUGACGCAUGUUGUUGGGGUGGGAAAGACCUUCGUGCGGCGUGAGGAGUGGGCCCGGCCGGCCUA